GACGAACGCUGGCGGCGUGCCUAAUACAUGCAAGUCGAACGAGAGCGCCCGGUGCUUGCCCUGGUCAAUCUAGUGGCGAACGGGUGAGUAACACGUGGGUAACCUGCCCAUCAGAGGGGGAUAACAUCCGGAAACGGAUGCUAAAACCGCAUAGGUCUUCGAGCCGCAUGACUUGAAGAGGAAAAGAGGCGCAAGCUUCUGCUGAUGGAUGGACCCGCGGUGCAUUAGCUAGUUGGUGAGGUAACGGCUCACCAAGGCCGUGAUGCAUAGCCGACCUGAGAGGGUGAUCGGCCACAUUGGGACUGAGACACGGCCCAAACUCCUACGGGAGGCAGCAGUAGGGAAUCUUCCGCAAUGACGCAAGUCUGACGGAGCAACGCCGCGUGAGUGAAGAAGGUUUUCGGAUCGUAAAACUCUGUUGUUAGAGAAGAACAGGUGCUAGAGUAACUGUUAGCGCCUUGACGGUAUCUAACCAGAAAGCCACGGCUAACUACGUG
rnacentral:rRNA from 1 species